GACGUAGGGCGCGAGCGUUGUCCGGAUUUAUUGGGCGUAAAGAGCUCGUAGGCGGCUUGUCGCGUCGACUGUGAAAACCUGUGGCUCAACUAUGGGUCUGCAGUCGAUACGGGCUAGCUAGAAUUCGGUAGGGGAGACUGGAAUUCCUGGAUGUAGCGGUGAAAUGACGCAGAUAUCAGGAGGAACACCGAUGGCGAAGGCAGGUCUCUGGGCCACUGACUGACGCUGGAGAAGCGGAAAGCAUGGGGAGCGAACAGG
rnacentral:rRNA from 1 species